UACAGAGGGUGCGAGCGUUGUUCGGAAUUAUUGGGCGUAAAGGGCGCGUAGGCGGUGCGGUAAGUCACCUGUGAAAUCUCCUGGCUCAACUGGGAGCUUGCAGGCGAAACUGCCGUGCUGGAGUGUGGGAGAGGUGCGUGGAAUUCCUGGCGUAGCGGUGAAAUGCGUAGAUAUCAGGAGGAACACCUGUGGCGAAAGCGGCGCACUGGACCACAACUGACGCUGAGGCGCGAAAGCUAGGGGAGCAAACAGG
rnacentral:rRNA from 1 species